GCUUUCCCUCCAGAGUGGAUCCUGAGUACGGCGGAACACGUGAAAUUCCGUCGGAAUCCGGGAGGACCAUCUCCCAAGGCUAAAUACUCCCUAGUGACCGAUAGUGAACCAGUACCGUGAGGGAAAGGUGAAAAGCACCCCGGAAGGGGAGUGAAACAGUUCCUGAAACCGUGUGCCUACAAGUAGUUAGAGCCCGUUAAUGGGUGAUAGCGUGCCUUUUGUAGAAUGAACCGGCGAGUUACGAUUUGUUGCAAGGUUAAGCGGAAAAAGCGGAGCCGUAGCGAAAGCGAGUCUGAAUAGGGCGCAUAAGUAACAGGUCGUAGACCCGAAACCAGGUGAUCUACCCAUGUCCAGGAUGAAGGUAAGGUAAUACUUACUGGAGGUCCGAACCCACGCACGUUGAAAAGUGCGGGGAUGAGGUGUGGGUAGCGGAGAAAUUCCAAUCGAACUUGGAGAUAGCUGGUUCUCUCCGAAAUAGCUUUAGGGCUAGCCUCGAGGUAAAGAGUCAUGGAGGUAGAGCACUGUUUGGACUAGGGGCCCUUCUCGGGUUACCGAAUUCAGAUAAACUCCGAAUGCCAUGUACUUAUACUCGGGAGUCAGACUGCGAGUGAUAAGAUCCGUAGUCGAAAGGGAAACAGCCCAGACCACCAGUUAAGGUCCCCAAAUAUAUGUUAAGUGGAAAAGGAUGUGGGGUUGCUUAGACAACCAGGAUGUUGGCUUAGAAGCAGCCACCAUUGAAAGAGUGCGUAAUAGCUCACUGGUCGAGUGACCCCGCGCCGAAAAUGUACCGGGGCUAAACAUAUUACCGAAACUGUGGAUGAACCUCUUUAGAGGUUCGUGGUAGGAGAGCGUUCUAAGGGCGGUGAAGUCAGACCGGAAGGACUGGUGGAGCGCUUAGAAGUGAGAAUGCCGGUAUGAGUAGCGAAAGAAGGG
rnacentral:rRNA from 1 species